rnacentral:tmRNA from 1 species
GGGGAUGAUCGGUUUCGACGGUGACCUGUUCGUCGCAGGGAAGCGUGCCGAGAACGUAGGGUCCGCUCGUGGAUGCCCCCUACAAAAGAAUAAGUGCUAAAUCUAACCGCACUGAGUUCGCUCUCGCUGCCUGAGCUUCGCGCCAGGAUUAACCAGUGAGCAGCCGCUCCGUUCACUCCUUCUCUAGAAGACUGAGGGUUCGGUUAUCGGACCGGGGUUCAAUUCCCCGCAUCUCCACGG